UCGGAAAUACUAAAUAUAUAACCAGGGCAU
rnacentral:piRNA from 1 species